GGGUACUUGAAGCCAGUAAGUGAGCCAGAAAGUGUCAGAGAAAGCAGGAAGUAUCCCAGGAUAAUGACUUAUAAGUCCCAGCGGUCACACACAAGAACCAGGUUGGAAAUCAUUAGGUGUGCUGAUGGGGACAAACCUUUAUUCUCAAUCUGAUGCUCUUCAGAGUGUGCUCCCUCUGGGAACCCAGCUGCCACAUUAGGAGAAGCCCAGGGAGAGGCCAUGAGUAGAUGCUCCAGUUGACAGCCCCAGCACAGCUCAGGCUCCAAGCCAGCCCAGCCCAGGAACCAUACACAUGAGUGAGGAAAUCGCCGGAUGAUUCCAGCGCUGGUGAUUCAAGUCACACCAGCCAAAGUUGGUUACACAGCAAAAGACGAAUGAAAUAGAGUUGCAUUGUGCUAUUGUAUCUACUUUUGUGUUUAUCUGAAAAUUGUCCAUAGUAAAAAGUUUUUAAAAGGUUUCUAUGACCAUUAAAAGAGAAUGCUAGAAAUACACCAUCAGAUCAUCUAAAAGGCAAGAUGCGCUUUGAUAUUUUAUAAUGGUUUUAGCUCUCUGAGGACAGAAUCCCCCUUACAGUAUGGUAAACUUUCGGACUUCUUGCUCAUACGCAUGCAGCAUGCGUGAAAUUCAGGGGCGGUCUAGAUGAGUGUUCUCGGGUUAAAUUGGAGAGCAGUAAGUAUGGUGAGACAGUUGGUAGGAGAGAUUCCAAUAUUCUGAGUGAAAGGGUCAAAUUAGAAUACAGAUUUUAUGUGAAAGGAAGCAGCUCAAACCCUUAUUUCUUCUUCAUGGGUGCUGGGAUUAGGGACAAUCUUUUCUUUUUCUAUCAUAGUUGAUUAACUUCUGGACAGGAGGCUGAUCAACUAAGUUAAAGAUCUUUGUACCUCCCUUUCCCUCUCUUUGAUGCCUGUGCUUUGUGAGGGAAAUGGAAAUAGCUUUAUUUUAUUUCUGUUUAUAAAGUGAAUUCAUGUUCUUUUAAAAAAAUAUAUCUAGAAGCAACUCAAAUGUCCAUUGACAGGUGAAUAUAUAAAAAUGUGUAUAUACAUACAAUGGAAUAUCAUUGAGCCUUAAGACGAAGGAAAUUCUAUCACAUGCUACAGCGUGGGUGAACCAUGAGGAUAUUAUGCUAAGAGAAAUAAGACAGUCACACACACAAAAACAAAUACCGUAUGA